CUACGGGCGGCAGCAGUGGGGAAUAUUGCACAAUGGAGGAAACUCUGAUGCAGCAACGCCGCGUGGAGGAUGACACUUUUCGGAGCGUAAACUCCUUUUAUAUAGGAAGAGGAUGACGGUACUAUAUGAAUAAGCGCCGGCUAACUCCGUGCCAGCAGCCGCGGUAAUACGGAGGGCGCAAGCGUUACUCGGAAUCACUGGGCGUAAAGAGCGUGUAGGCGGAUUAAAAAGUCAGAUGUGAAAUCCUAUAGCUUAACUAUAGAACUGCUUCUGAAACUCUUAAUCUAGAAUAUGGGAGAGGUAGAUGGAAUUUCUGGUGUAGGGGUAAAAUCCGUAGAGAUCAGAAGGAAUACCGAUUGCGAAGGCGAUCUACUAGAACAUUAUUGACGCUGAGACGCGAAAGCGUGGGGAGCAAACAGGAUUAGAUACCCCAGUAGUC
rnacentral:rRNA from 1 species